rnacentral:rRNA from 1 species
GACGAACGCUGGCGGCGUGCUUAACACAUGCGAGUCGAACGGAAAGGCCCUGCUUUUGUGGGGUGCUCGAGUGGCGAACGGGUGAGUAACACGUGGGUAACCUGCCCUUGACUUUGGGAUAACUUAAGGAAACUGGGGCUAAUACCGGAUAGGAGCUCCUGCUGCAUGGUGGGGGUUGGAAAGUUUCGGCGGUUGGGGAUGGACUCGCGGCUUAUCAGCUUGUUGGUGGGGUAGUGGCUUACCAAGGCUUUGACGGGUAGUCGGCCUGGGAGGGUGACCGGCCACAUUGGGACUGAGAUACGGCCCAGACUCCUACGGGAGGCAGCAGUGGGGAAUAUUGCACAAUGGGCGGAAGCCUGAUGCAGCAACGCCGCGUGCGGGAUGACGGCCUUCGGGUUGUAAACCGCUUUCGCCUGUGACGAAGCGUGAGUGACGGUAAUGGGUAAAGAAGCACCGGCUAACUACGUG